rnacentral:tRNA from 6 species
GCGCCGCUAGCUCAACUGGCAGAGCAGCUGACUCUUAAUCAGCGGGUUCGGGGUUCAAGUCCCUGGCGGCGCACCA